rnacentral:lncRNA from 1 species
CUCUUGUCUAAGGGUGGCAAUGCUUGCUACAGGUCCAGGUGGCACAUGCAUAGGCCACACUGACUUGGGAUGGUUAGCAGUGUUCUGGGCCAGCUGCCAAGUCUGCCCUGGGGUUGUUCCCGAUUGGGCAAUUUAGGUCACAGGCCCAUCUCUGGAGCAAAGAGAUUGUGGCCUGGAUGGGGAGGAGGAAUCGGGGUUGGCCCCAGGCUCAGGAGUUGAGAGGAAGAGUGGAGAGUGGAAUGAACCCGGGCUGUCCCUAAAAAGAAAGGGAGGGACGGAUGUGGACAGGGGCCUCCAGCAAGCACAGUGGAGGGGACAGGAGAGAUUGACAAGCAAAGCCCUCGGGCGGCUCCUGCUGCUUGAGGAUGAGGAUGCAGAGUUCUCCCUGCUCGGCUUCAGGUGGACUUGCUGCCCUGGGAGGGGGCCUGGUGCUUCCAGAAGCAGCUUCGCACGUAAAGGGCACCCAGGUGCAGGCCCUGCCUGUGUCCUCCGAGGCGCUGUCGGCCUGCGGGCUUGUGGCGGGGCCUCCGGGUGAAGCUCGAGGAGUGGAGCUGGGCCGGAUCGAUCGCUUCGUUUGGAUGGAAAAGAACCUAAAAUUUCUCAAUAAGGUUUCUAUUGAUUAGACGGUGGAAUGACCAUAUUUGGGGCAUGCUCAUGGGUUAAAUUCACUUGUUUGUUUUUCCUUUUUUGGGGGGCCGCAUUCGAGAGACAUGGAAGGUCCCUGGGCCAGGGAUUGAAUCAGAGCCGCAUGGGCGACCUACGCCACAGCUGAGGUAACACGGGACCCUUAACCCACUGCAGCACAGCGGGAACUCCCUGCUGCACGUCUCUGAGCCACACUGUCUUCCUUGAGGAGGCGCUGCUGAGGGUGACGGAGACCCCCCUACUGGAGGUGCCACUGAGGUGUGGCAGGGAGGGGGCAUCCAUCCAUCUGUCCCCAGGCCUCGGACCCUGGUGCCUGAGAGACACGGAUGCUGCAAGACUCCAUCUCCAGCACCACCACUGCUGCGCUCAGACCCUGGGGCUCUGUCAGGAGUCUGCCCUGCACGGCUUUUAUCAAAACAUCCAAAACUAGGCCAGAGACAAGGCCAGGGAACCUGCAGCCCUCGGGCCACUCCAGGCCGCCUACCAGGUUCCGGCAGAGCUGCCGGGCGGGAAGUGGACCCCGCGGGCACUUUCGAGCCUCUGCACCCCAGCGUCCCUUCUGCUGCCGUGCUGUGGCCUCAGGGACAGUCACAAAGCCGGGCAGCAAAAGAGUUCUCCACAGAGCGCUGCUGGAGUCCGGGAGCCUGGAGUCCGUGAACCUGGACGAGAAAACAGUCACAUCCAUAUCGGCACCAACUAAAUUCAGCAUCGCCCUGCCUUGUGAAUGUGAGCAGCAAAACCCAGUGAGGUCUGUGGUUUUGCCACCAAUGUUAUCAACCACAAACCCCACUGGGUUUCCGAGCGUCCUACCUUUAUUGCAGAAAUUUCAGGACGGCAUUUGGACUCAAAUCACGGUAGUUCUUAAAUCCGCUACUAGAUAUUCUUUUAAAUGUGCUAGGAAGAAGUAGGAGUUCCCCGGUGGCCUAGCUGGUUAGGAAUCCUGCAUUAUCACUGCUGUAGCUGGGUUAGAUUCCUGGCCUGGGAGUGUCUGCAGGCUGCUGGCCAAAAAAAAAAAGAAGAAGAAGGAGAAAAGGAAGAGGAAGAGGAAGAAAAGAAGAAGAGGCAUGUAUAUUAAACAAUAGUUUGACAAAUUUCAGUGCAUUUGGCUUCCUUUAUAAUCCUACGUAUUUUGCUAUUUUGCAUUGUGCAUUUAAAAACAUGAUCCUGGAGUUCCCGUCGUGGCGCAGUGGUUGACGGGUCCGACUAGGAACCAUGAGGUUGCGGGUUCGGUCCCUGCCCUUGCUCAGUGGGUUGGCGAUCCGGCGUUCCCGACAGUGACCCAAGCCACCGCAGUGAAAAUGCUGGAUCCUUAACCUGCUGCACC